UACGUAGGGACCAAGCGUUGUUCGGAUUCAUUGGGCGUAAAGGGUGCGUAGGCGGCGGGGCAAGUCUGAUGUGAAAUCCCGGGGCUCAACCCCGGAACUGCAUUGGAUACUGCCUUGCUAGAGUACUGGAGAGGGAACUGGAAUUUACGGUGUAGCAGUGAAAUGCGUAGAGAUCGUAAGGAAGGCCAGUGGCGAAGGCGAGUUCCUGGACAGUGACUGACGCUGAGGCACGAAGGCCAGGGGAGCAAACGGG
rnacentral:rRNA from 1 species